rnacentral:rRNA from 1 species
AGAUGAGCCUAUGUUAGAUUAGCUAGUUGGUAAGGUAAUGGCUUACCAAGGCAAUGAUCUAUAGCUGGUCUGAGAGGACGAUCAGCCACACUGGAACUGAGAUACGGUCCAGACUCCUACGGGAGGCAGCAGUGGGGAAUAUUGGACAAUGGGCGAAAGCCUGAUCCAGCUAUGCCGCGUGAGUGAAGAAGGCCUUCGGGUUGUAAAACUCUUUUAAUAGGGAAGAUAAUGACGGUACCUAUAGAAAAAGUCCCGGCAAACUCCGUGCCAGCAGCCGCGGUAAUACGGAGGGG